UUUUGAACUUCUUUUUCGCCCCCUUUGCUCCUCUCCAGGUCGCUCUGUGUGCUCUCUUUCUAUCUGCCUUCUUUCUCUUUUUUUUUUUUUGGUCUCAACUUGAUGAACAUUGUUUCUUUGACUGAGGACUCAGAGGGACUGCCAUGUGGGGAAAGAAGUGUGAAGAGAAGACCUUGAAAGCUUCUUAGAGAAAAGGGGACUCUGCAAACAUGCCACAAUCCUCCAUUAGAGUAAAGAUUGUUUUGAGAGAUGAAGGGGAGGAAACAUGGAGACUCAUCUCAGCUCAGCUCUGCCAUGGGCACCGGUCCCCAAUCUCCGAGGUGAUUAUGACAAAAACGAACGACCCCCAAGAGACGGGGCCAGCAGAGAUAAGAGAGAGAAAGAAGAGGAUGGCAGAGGGAGAGAACGAGGAGGAGGAGGAGGAGGAGGAGGAAGGGAUUGGAGAUGCAUGAUGUAACAGGGAAUUUUGGCUGUGUGUUAGGAUUUGGGUUGAGAGAUUCAGAACCAGCAGUUCAUAUCAGACCAUAUCUAUCUAUAUCUCUGUCUAUCUCAACGUCAUUUUUUUUCCAAAUUAAUCUCUUGCAGACAAAAAGAAGUCAGUGGAUGUAGAUUGGUAGCAGGCCUGGAAUGUGACUAAGUAUACGCUACUACUUACCUUGUACGUCUACAGUUGGUCAUUUGACUCCUUAAUAUAUAACAGAUCUUAAUAGAAUUACUUAAGAUAUAUUUUACAUUAAAAUAGAAAGCUGCAUUGCUAUGUGUGAUAAAAUAUUAUUUUUAAUUCUUUAAGUGUA